rnacentral:rRNA from 1 species
GUCUUAAUUGGGCGUUAAGUUGCAGGGUAUAGACCCGAAACCCGGUGAUCUAGCCAUGGGCAGGUUGAAGGUUGGGUAACACUAACUGGAGGACCGAACCGACUAAUGUUGAAAAAUUAGCGGAUGACCUGUGGCUGGGGGUGAAAGGCCAAUCAAACCGGGAGAUAGCUGGUUCUCCCCGAAAGCUAUUUAGGUAGCGCCUCGUGAAUUCAUCUCCGGGGGUAGAGCACUGUUUCGGCUAGGGGGCCAUCCCGGCUUACCAACCCGAUGCAAACUGCGAAUACCGGAGAAUGUUAUCACGGGAGACACACGGCGGGUGCUAACGUCCGUCGUGAAGAGGGAAACAACCCAGACCGCCAGCUAAGGUCCCAAAGUCAUGGUUAAGUGGGAAACGAUGUGGGAAGGCCCAGACAGCCAGGAUGUUGGCUUAGAAGCAGCCAUCAUUUAAAGAAAGCGUAAUAGCUCACUGGUCGAGUCGGCCUGCGCGGAAGAUGUAACGGGGCUAAACCAUGCACCGAAGCUGCGGCAGCGACGCUUAUGCGUUGUUGGGUAGGGGAGCGUUCUGUAAGCCUGUGAAGGUGUGUCGUGAGGC